rnacentral:rRNA from 1 species
AUGCUACCACUACCCGUCCACCUGCCCUUCAUGCGCGGCCACUACUGGGCGGGCAUGAAGGCCAACUGGAUCGUCCUCAUCCACCAAUCUGGUAGUCCGUGGCGUCUCGUGGAUAUCUACACCCAGCGAGAGAUCACCCUUCCAUCUUUGGAUACCGCCGCCAUCGAGCCUCGCGGCCCGCCGGACACUCCUGCCUACUACGCACGAGAUGCGUCGACCUUUUGGCUCGACCUCUGUUUGCUGAAAGUUGUAAUCUGCGAAGUGCCCACACCAUCAGAAGACUACAUGGACUACAAGCUCAUUGCCGUGUUCAACAUGGGAUUAGUCUAUCUGGAAUCCGGUCGCCAUACAUGGUUAUGGCUCAUCGUCGAUCCUCUUCACCCAACAGUUCUGUCUGAUGCUAUAGUGCACGAUGGCAUCGUUUAUGCGGUCGACGCACAGAUUGGCUGCCUAUACUGGUGGAAUCUAUCGUCGUCAAACGCAAAUGCGCUGGCCUUCAUGAUUCCAGGACCUGGAAUCAUACCUGCCGAUGGGUGGUGGUUUAUCGCUCGUUUAGCUGACGGUGGUCAUUUGAUGCUCAUUUGCACAUAUUCAUGUGUAUACCAACAUCGACGUAUGUAUAUUCAUGUUUAUAUUCACAUCGAGUUCCAUAUAACUGGAAUUAACCCAUGCAAGUCGAAGAAGGAUUGGCCGGUGCUACCGGCUGGCGUCAAGUUCAAUCCCACGGAUCAGGAGCUGAUCGAGCACCUUGAGGCCAAAGUGAGUGCUGACAGCGUGAGAUCUCACCCUCUCAUCGAUUUGUUCAUACCAACCAUCAACAGCGAGCACGGCAUAUGCUACACCCAUCCUGAGAAACUUCCAGGCAAGACACCGACCGGCCGUCUACUUGCACAAACAUAUUCCUUUGUUUAUAGCUCUAUUUUUCUUUUCAGAUGUAGACCUGGUGAAGCAAUUACAAUUUGA